rnacentral:rRNA from 1 species
UAGGGAAUCUUCGGCAAUGGGGGGAACCCUGACCGAGCAACGCCGCGUGAGUGAAGAAGGUUUUCGGAUCGUAAAGCUCUGUUGUUAAGGAAGAACGAGUGUGAGAAUGGAAAGUUCAUACUGUGACGGUACUUAACCAGAAAGGGACGGCUAACUACGUGCCAGCAGCCGCGGUAAUACGUAGGUCCCGAGCGUUGUCCGGAUUUAUUGGGCGUAAAGCGAGCGCAGGCGGUUAGAUAAGUCUGAUGUGAAAGCCCCCGGCUCAACCGGGGAGGGUCAUUGGAAACUGGUUGACUUGAGUGCAGAAGAGGAGAGUGGAAUUCCAUGUGUAGCGGUGAAAUGCGUAGAUAUAUGGAGGAACACCAGUGGCGAAGGCGACUCUCUGGUCUGUAACUGACGCUGAGGCUCGAAAGCGUGGGUAGCAAACAGG